rnacentral:lncRNA from 1 species
GAAAACAUUAUUAACAAACGGCGGGAGUGAGAAGAAUUUGUGAUGGGUAGCGGCGAGUUGGCAGUAGCUGAGAGCGGUGGUGCAUCUCUUCCUUCAGUCGGCGCUGAUGCAAUGAAGCGUCGCGUAACCUACUUCUACGAACCAAGCAUCGGUGAUUAUUACUACGGUCAAGGUCACCCAAUGAAACCCCAUCGUAUCCGCAUGGCACACAAUCUCAUCGUCCACUACUCUCUCCACCGUCGUAUGCAAAUCAACCUUCCUUUCGCCGCUGCGCCGGAAGAUAUCUGUCGUUUUCACUCUGAUGAUUACGUCGAGUUUCUCUCUUCAGUUUCGCCGGAGAUCGUUAAGGAUAAUUCGCAUCCUCAUAAUCGGCUGUUGAAGAGGUUUAAUGUUGGUGAUGAUUGUCCAGUUUUCGAUGGACUUUUUCCGUUCUGUCAAGCUUCUGCUGGUGGAUCUAUUGGUUGUGCUGCUAGGCUCAACCGUGGUGAUGCUGAUAUUGCUAUUAAUUGGGCUGGUGGAUUGCAUCAUGCUAAGAAAGCUGAAGCUUCUGGAUUUUGCUAUGUUAAUGACAUUGUUCUUGGGAUUCUCGAGCUUCUCAAAGCUCAUAGGGUAUUAUUUUUUAUUUUUUCUGUUUAUACCUUGUUAAAUGUUUUUUUUUUUGUUUUUUUUGUGAUUGUGUUAUUUAUUUAAGUAUGAAAAUUAUGCUUGUGUGUGUUUUACUCAUUCAUGGUCUGUGUUUGUGACCUAGAUUUGCACUUAAAGACAUAUGACACAGCGUGAGUCGUGUGACUAUAUAAUUGUGAGUGGGUUAGUCCCUUUGAUUGUGAAUAUAUCAAAAUAUUUGAUAUAUAAGAGAUGUGGUUUAUAUCUAGGGUUUGUUUGAAUUGAUUUAAUCUAAAUUUUUUAUGUCUGUAAAUUUUGUGGACUGUUUGAGAGAAGUUAUGAAAUUAGGUUAUGGUGUUAUUGGUUUUUAGCUUAUUUUCAUUUGUUUUCUAAGAUAGUUUAUGACAAUCUUGGACAUGACGGCACGACAUGAUUAUAAAAUUGUGACUCAUAUCUAGUGCCAGUUUUGUAUACCUAAGGUUUGUUUGGAUUGACUUAUUUGAUGUUAUUUAUUGAUAUAUGUUUAGUAAAAUUGUUUGUUUGGGAGAACCUAUGGAAAUAGCUUAUAACAUUGUUCAUAAGCCCUUUUCAUAAAUUCUCCAGGAUAUAUAGCUUUUGAAAACAUCUUAUGUGAAAACAAUUUGACUUUAAUUUUAUCUUUUUCUAUAGAAAUUGCUUAUAUAUAAGCGAUUAUCAUGAUAAGUGUCUGCGAUAUAAGUUGGAAUGUGAGACUUCUCCAACAUGCAUGUUUUCAAACGACACCAACGAUCUUCACGUUGGUUGAAAAUAACACAUUUGCUUUCAUUAUCGUCACCAACAAUCAUAGUUUAGAAGAACUAUCAUACUCGAUCAUAAAGAGUAUAUUCACUUAAAGUUAAACCGCUCAGAUUUUUCAAAAUAGUUAUCAUACUCCAAAAUAAAAAGUAUACGUCAUUUGAAGUUAAAUCACGCUAUGAAUUUUCACAUGUUGAAAAGUCAAGCUAAAAACUUAUAGUGCAACUUUCAUGUUGGCGGGAGACAUAAUCACACAACACACUAACAUCAAUGUCAGUCAAUGUUUGUGUACUCAUCAAAACCUCGUGCAAUCUAGAAGGUAUCAACACAUCCUUGACUUAAAAUUCCUCAAGUCAAAAUUGAUUCUUAAAUCAAUUUUAGGGGUGUUCAAAACUGAGUCAACCCAAUAAAAAACCUUAAAUCGAACCAACCCAAUAAAAAACCUUAAACCGAACCAAUCCAAACUAAAAACCGUAUUUAAUUUGGAUGUAUUCAGACCAUUUUUUUUACUCAACACCGCACAGUUCAGUUUGCGGUUUUAUUUUACCAAUCGACUCAAACCAAAACAAAUCACAACACAAGAGAAACACUAAUUAAACUUUUGUCACACAGUCUAGUACUCAGUGAAAUUCAAUUGAAAUUUUUAUAAAUAAAAUGUUUUUUCAAUUAUUUUUUUUGACUAAGACAUGUUUUUUCUCUUGUUAAAUUUCUACUACGUUUUUUUAUUUUAUUUUAUUUCAACAAUGUAUUUAUGUACUUUAAUUUAAUUCUUUUUAUUUGAUACAAAUGAUGGUCAAAUGCCCAAGAGAAAACCAAACAACUAGCUGGACAUGCCUAGGCGAACAAGCCCCAAAAAUAUCAUAAAAAAGAAACCUUUGAAGAUCGCUAGGUGUAUACUCCAAUCUAGUAACAACAAAAGAGUCUAAAUUAACAAAAGCUAAAGGUCGUCAGCCAAUCAGCAUAAUGGUUUUCCUCCCUCCAAGUGUGACUAAAAUGGACACGCCAAUCAAAAGCCAAUAUGUUGCAAAUACACCGCACUAACGUUGGAAUGACUCUACUAAACUUACAAUUACCGGUAACCAUGUUAAUAAGAGUUUUAGAGUCACUUUCCGUAAUAAAUUGAAGAAUACGUUCUCGCUAGGCCAUAGCCAAACCAAGAUACAUGGCCUAUAAUUCAGCAUGAAGUGUGUCACACACUCUAAUCUUCCUAAUGUAACCUUUUAACCAUAUUCCAUUAGAGUGGCAAAAAAGGCCACGACAACGUGAAUUCUCUCCACCUCCUUUGCAAGCAUCGCCACUGUUGAGUUUUAUCCGACCUUCAAGGGAUUUAUCCCAUAUUAUAUGAAUUGUCUCUUUUAUUUGAAGAUUGCAAUAAGGUGGAUGGGUUGAGCAAAUAUCUAUCUCUCCUAUAAAGUUUUGAAUCACCAUGACAAGGUUGUUUGACUGGUGAAAAUUGUUUUCAAAGACAACAUUGUUUCUCCACGUCCAUAAGAACUAUCAAGUUAUCAUGAAAAUGGUCUUCUAGCUCUUAUUAAAAAUUUGGUCCCUGCAAUAAAAAGUAAAUAAAUCAAUUAUAAAAUUAAAUGGAUCAAGAAAGAGCCAUAUUUGAGUUGCAUAGACACAAUUUUGGUGCACAUGAAUGUUAGUUUCAUCUUCCUCUUCCACAUCUAGUACAAAGUGGAGAUAUGCCCAUCCCCCACUUGCUUCUAUAAAGAUGGUAAAGAUGCACUCUUGGGACGUGAGAGCCAGAUGAAAGUUUGGAUAUGAUGAGAUCCUUUCCAGUCCUACAUAGAUUUCCAUUCUCCUUCCAAUACAUGAACAUCUCCACGUUGAACCUAUAAGCACUUUAAAUGGUAAACCAAUGAGUAUCAGUGGCUUCCAAUCCCGUAACAUCAGAGUCAUCUGCAUCUAUUGGGGUUGGUAAAGGAACCACUUGAUUCACAAUAUUUUUUUUACACUAAAAAUCAACAAUAUUAUUGAGAAACAAUAAAACUCAUAUCUUUUUGGAUAUGUGUUAUUAUACAAAUAGGAAAGUAUUGGGUCCAAUCUUUAUUGGGUUCAGACCCGACCCAUCUAGCUAUAUGUUGCGCUGUCUGAUUACUAGAUCUCCUUAUCCAUCUAACACUGAUCAUGUUCAUCUUCUUUAACUCUGCAUGACUUUCUUUCAUCAUUUCCCCCCAAUAUUUCCUGCAGAAAUUUCCGGUGUUUAAAUUUGAGACAACCAUCUGGUUGUCCUAUUCAAUCACAACCCUACUUAGAUUCAUCCUUUUUAUAAGCUUAACGGCUUCAAAAACUCCAUGAGCCUCUGCAUCAGUUGCAUCUUCCGUAGACAUGAUCUCCCUAGUCUCUACCACAACGGAGUCCCCGUCCUUGCGACAGAGGAUAAGACCUAAACCCCAAUGGCCAUCACCCAAAUAGUGAGCAUCCACAUUGAGCUUUAGGUCACCCUUCGCCGGAGGAGUCCAACCAGUGUUACGGCAGUUCAUCCCAGAGGAUUGAUGGUCUUUGAAUGUUGAUGAAGCCUAUUCACGAGGUUGUAGUUCGAGAUUGCGGUUUGAGCUUUGCGACAAACUUCCAUAGCAGGUAUGUCCAUUCCUUUGAAGAUUAAAAGAUUUAUGGCUUCCCAUAUGUGAUAGAUAAUCGCUGUUAUAUGUGUUAUGAGUUCAAUUUAUGUGUUGUGAAGCAUGUAAUCUAGCCAAUUUAGAAAAGUAUUGGUAUCUGUGUUUUCAAAAUUGAUAGUUAGAUCAGAGUAGAACCACACCCGUUUAACCCAAUCGCACUUCAUAAAAAGAUGGUCUAAGCUUUCAGUAGCCUGGUUGCAACGAGGGCAAACUGGGUCAAGGGUGAUGUUAUGCUUGAACAAGUUUGCUUUGGUAUGGAUGCCUCUAUGGUUGGUAACUUAUCAUGCAAAAAACUUAGGUUCCAAUCUCCCUCUUGAUUCAAAACAUCUUGCACAUUAAGGGCAAUAUCAAUGAAAUUAUGGAAAACUAAUGGGAGCUCGCUCCUGUUAGGAAGCCACUUAUCCAGUCAAAAAUUUGUAUGUCUUCCAUCCCCUAGUUGUCUAAAAACAUUGUGUUGGAAAUCGUUUUGAACUCCUACUAAAGCUUUCAACAAGGGGGAAUCCAAAGGCUGAAAGUUGCAAGAAACCAUAAGAUCAUUAUUUCUAUCAUACUUGCCGAUAAGAACUUUGCGCCAUAAUUCUUAGGUUGGCAAUCCAUAUCCCAGUUCAUCAAAUGAACUUUACGACCCUAAUCAUAUUUUGAAUUCUACUUGCAUUUUUGCUUAUAAGUUAAUGUUAGAUAUAUUUUAAAUCAUAGAAACUCAAUAAAAACUUUUAGAGAAUGAUAAAAUAUUAGUCUUUUGCAUUUCUUAUCGAAUAGGUUACUUUUUGGUCCAUGUUUUUAAUCUAGUCCACGUUGAUGGAACAUUGUCGGAUGAAAGUGUAGUGUUGGAUCAAAUUUGAAACAUUGUUGAGGAUAAGUCGUUUUUAACUUAAUGUUGGAAACAAAAAGAUUGUUUUGUCUUGUAAAAAACCGAAUCAACCAAAAUCACAUUGGUUUGGUUUUAAUUUUGAAAGUCAACUAAACCAACCCACAUACUUUUUUUAUCUUGCGUUUUUCAAAUGACUAUUAGUCUUAAAACUGAACCAAACCACACUGCGAACAUCCUAAUCAAUUUCCUCUAGCCUAAACAUUUUACAUCAAACGUAGAUCAGAAACCUUUCUUCUCCCUCUCGGUUCUUAAUAACCUUUUCUUCGCUUAUAUGCACACAGCUAAAAGUUUAAAUUUAUAUAUAAGAUGAUGCUAUAAUCUAAAACGUCUACGUCACAUAAAAUAGAUAUUUGAGAAGAUAUUUUCGAUGUAAAAUUAUAGUCUAAAACGUCUAUGUCACACAACGUAGAUAAAUAUCUUCUUUAACAUCUACGUAGACGUUUUAGAUUAUAAUUUUACAUCGAAAAUAUCUUCUCAAUUAUCUACAUUGUGUGACGUAUACCUUUUAGAUUAUAGUCUAAUUUUAUAUAUAAAUUUAAACCUUUAGCUGUGUGCGUUAGGGUUGGGAAUAGGCUAGGCCAGGCCAGGCCAGGUCAGGCUUUGAUAGGCCUGAGCCUGGCCUACGAAAAAAUUUGCAGGCCUGAGCCUGGCCUAUGGCCUUUCAUAGGCCUAUUUUUUUGGUCUGGCCUGGCCUGAAAGCCUAUUUACAGGCCUACUUACUAUUAAAGUCAUCAAACAUUCCAUUUUAUCUACUUUUAAAUAGGCUUAAUAGGCCUCAAAGCCUAUUUCAGUGUAAGACUUGUCUAUCACUAUAAGGCCUUAAAAACUUAUUUCACUAUAAAGUUUUAAAGCCUAUUUAAAAAGUCACUAUGAAGCCUAAUAUGCAUAAACAGGCUGACCUAUUAGGCUUCAUAGACUUUUUUGAUAGCUUAAGCCUGACCUAUUUACUUAAAUAGACUUUUUAAAAAGUCUAAGCCUAACCUUUUUAAUAAACAGACAGACUUAAACUGGCCAGACAAUAGGUCCUGUAGGCCGGCCUGGCCUAUUCCCAACACUAGUGUGCGUAUAUGCGAAGUGUCAAGGCACAGAGUUAUUAAAAACCGAGAGGGAGAAGAAGGGUUUCUGAAGAAGAAUUUCCAAUGGGCAGCGGCGAAAUGGGUGUAGCUGAGAGCGGUGGCGCAUCACUUCCUUCAAUCGGCGCCGACGCAAUGAAGCGUCGCGUAACCUACUUCUACGAACCAAGCAUCGGUGAUUAUUACUACGGUCAAGGUCACCCAAUGAAACCCCAUCGUAUCCGCAUGGCACACAAUCUCAUCAUCCACUACUCUCUCCACCGUCGUAUGCAAAUUAACCGUCCUUUCGCCGCUGCGCCGG